AUUUCUAGUGGGUCGUAUU
rnacentral:snRNA from 1 species